rnacentral:rRNA from 1 species
AUUGAACGCUGGCGGCAGGCCUAACACAUGCAAGUCGAGCGGAUGAAGGGAGCUUGCUCCUGGAUUCAGCGGCGGACGGGUGAGUAAUGCCUAGGAAUCUGCCUGGUAGUGGGGGAUAACGUCCGGAAACGGGCGCUAAUACCGCAUACGUCCUGAGGGAGAAAGUGGGGGAUCUUCGGACCUCACGCUAUCAGACGAGCCUAGGUCGGAUUAGCUAGUUGGUGGGGUAAAGGCCUACCAAGGCGACGAUCCGUAACUGGUCUGAGAGGAUGAUCAGUCACACUGGAACUGAGACACGGUCCAGACUCCUACGGGAGGCAGCAGUGGGGAAUAUUGGACAAUGGGCGAAAGCCUGAUCCAGCCAUGCCGCGUGUGUGAAGAAGGUCUUCGGAUUGUAAAGCACCUUAAGUUGGGAGGAAGGGCAGUAAGUUAAUACCUUGCUGUUUUGACGUUACCAACAGAAUAAGCACCGGCUAACUUCGUG